rnacentral:misc_RNA from 1 species
CUGAGAUAACUGCCCUAUGGGUAGAACUCACACCCUUGAAUACAAUACCUCUUGUUGCUUUGGCGGGCCACAGGCUCCGGCACACCGGCCUUGGCUGGUGAGUGCCCGCCAGAGAACCCAAAACUCUUGAAUAUUAGUGUUGUCUGAGUACCAAAAAAUUAUUA